AAAGCAGCUAUUGCACAUUGCAUUCUUCUCAUACUUCCAGUCUCUUUGAUUUUCCCUCCUGCCAUUAGCUAAAGAAAGCUCUCUGCUUUUAAGGCUCAUAUGAUUCCAUCAGGCCUACCGAGAUAAUCUAGGCUUGAAUCUCCCUAUUAUAAGGUCAACUGUGCCAUAUCGCAUAACAUAAUCACAGAAUCGGUCAUACAGCAUCACAUUCAUGAUGGUUGCAGGAAUUACGUUGGACAUCUUUGUGGGAGAGAGGUAUUUAAGAAAUUACGCCUACUACAUUUACUGAGAACUUAAGGUAAACAUAAGAACAAACGUCAAAUACUGUUGUCAACUUGUUCAAAUGUAAAACAAAGAUGUUCUAAAUUCCACAUACUUGGAUGAGUACCGUAUGCAAAUGGUACAAAAUAGAAAAGGCAUAAAAGAUAUACAGGAAAAAGCAAGACUUCUUUCUAAUAAUGUCCCUCAGCCCCAGUUCCAUUCCCUGGGAAUAAUAACUGUUUACUAAUUUCUCAUGUGUCCUUCCAGAGAUAUCCACAUUUAUUAAAGCGUAUGUGUUUGGGAGGACUGGACUGAUUUAUUCCUGAAAGGUUUGGCAGAAUUCCCCUGUUAAAUCACCAAGGCCUCAGUAGAAGAAAGUUAUUCUCAGGUGCCCUGGAGGUUUCUUGCGCCUGUGUUCCCACGUGUGGUGUGAACAUGAGGGCAUCAUGUUAUGAGCAGAUGGGGGCUGCAAUGACUCGCAGGAUCAGGAAUUUCAACCUAGAGAACCGAGUGAAACGGGGAAUCAGCAAGAUGAAGCCCUCUCCUGCUCCCAGGCACCCCUCUACCAACAGCCUCCUGUGAGAGCAGAUUAGUCUAUAUCCAGAAAUUAAGGGAGAGAUUGCUCAUAAAGAUGACAAGCCGCUAUCGUUUCUAAAAGAUGUGUAUAUGGAUUCCAAAGACCCUGUAUCUUCUGUGCAGGUAAAAGCUACUGAAACACAUCAAGAGACGAAGGAAUUCAGAUUGCCUUUCAGCCAUGAUUUUGAUAUGAUAAAUAUUAAGAGCAUUCCCAAAGGCAAAAUUUCCACUGUAGAAGCACUGACACUUCUCAAUAAUCAUAAACUUUACCCAGAAAUAUGGACUGCUGAGAAAAUAGCCCAAGAAUACCAUUUAGAACAGAAAGAUGUGAAUUUCCUUCUUAAAUAUUUUGUUACUUUUGAAGACCAAAUCUUCCCUCCUGAAGACAAGAAAGCAACACAAUCAAAAUGAAGAAAAUCACAAAAAUGUCCUAUGUGUACUCCUCAUCCUGCAUAUUUUCUCAUUUUUUGCAUAUUAAAUUAUAUUAAUUA